rnacentral:misc_RNA from 1 species
UGUCUGUCUAUUUAUUUGUGUGUGGGAGUCUGUAAAACUAGUGGAAUAAAAUAUUUAACUUCACGGAAGCGUUGACUGCAACUCAUUUAAAAUUUGUGUUACUGACAAUGAGUGGUAAUGGUCAGAACCAUCAGGUACCGAAAGAAAAUGAUGAUGCUGGUGAUGGACCAGAAGAAGAUGAUGAUUUUGGUGAAUUCGAAGGAUUUGAAGGUGGAAUAGAACGAAUGCAGGCACAACCUGCACCUUCACCAUGGGCAACUUUUCCAGAUUUACUACCUGUUCAAACAAGCCCAGCUACCCCUGCAGAUGAUGGACAAGCUUCUUGCUCCAGGAUAUCAAAUGCACCUUCGCGAGAAGUUUGGCAGCCAGCUGCUCCUGUUUUGCCAUGGCCAGGACCUAGCACUAGUCGAGAAGAUCCACGACCUAUGCCUCAGCAAAUGCGUACUCUUAAUCCACCAGAUGUUUCUCUGGGCACAAAUCAAGCAGUUGGUGGACGUGUAACACCAGAUAAUGUCCAUGAUGCUGCUCUUGCGGUUGUAAUGGACCACAUGGAUGGUGGAAUGGUUGAUCCCAGAUUACCUCUUGCGCAAGCAGAUAUGUUAAAUAUACAACUAGAAAAUGCAGAAAAUGAGAGAGCUCAGCUAGAAGAACAAGUUGAUGGACUAAGACAAAGAAAUAUUGAACUAGAGCAGCAAGUUAAUAGCUUUCAUGCUCAAGUUAAUGAGCUGAAUACUAGACUACAAAGAAAUCAGGAAAUACUUGAGCAACAGUUGUCUGAAAUGAGACAGUUUAAUAAUGCUGAUUGGAGGCAAGAUCUCAGGCGAAUGCAGGAGGAAAUGAUGGCCAUUAAACAAUCUCAGAUCACUGAAAGGAGUGAAUUAGAAGCAUCGAGGAAUAUGCUAGAAGAAAUGAAGACUAUAGUUUGUAACAAAUUACAAACCUUAGAGUCAAAUUUAUAUAAAGAAUAUGCUGAAAUGGAAAAAAGGUUGUUUAAAAAAUUUGAUGACCAGUGCCAUGAAGUGAAAGAAGCAGUACAGAAUGUCAUUCAAGAAACUACACAUCAAGUCUCUGGAAAUUUAUCACAGCUUGUUUCUUUUCUGUUUUAGGAAGCAUGUAAAUUCAGAAAAUGUAUCUGUGCAUAAAUGAAGACAAUUAAGCAAAAAAGCAGGAAGUUGUACAGAAUCCUAAUUGUGGAGAACACCAGGGAAAUAAUUUAUUACAAUCAAUCAAAAUAGAACUAGAAAAACAUAA